GUUCUGCAUUGGGUUUCCUCCAUUCUGUCAAAUGGCCCAUGUGGAGUGGGUAACAACCCUUUGCCUUUGUCUUCAAUUGAUAUUGCUGAAGUACUAGCACUAGGAUGUUCAUAUGUAUUUAUUUUUCCUUCUCUUAUGAUUAUGAGAGUAUUGUGUGCAGGAAAUUGAUUAAUAGAAUGAGUUACUAAUGGCUAGGGAGAGAACAACUUCAGUAAUUGCUCAUAUCCGCAAGUCUGUUCCUGCAUCAUAAUUUCAUGCUUCUUUGCUGCUUCAAUCUGUAAUGCUCUAUAUCUUUAUUUUUUUUCUUGUUGCAUUUCAUCCAACUAUCUCCUAGAAUUCUCAUUUUAACAUUAUAUUCCCUUGUAACCUGUUGCAAUCUCUCUUCCAUCUGGUUGUGGCAUUCGGUGGUAAGCAUCUGCAUUUUUUCUUUUAAGAUUUUAAGAUUUUCACUAAUGUCUUUCAAUUUGGUUCCCUCCACCAUACUUUCUUCUACUAAUUUAGAUUGACUGUGGUAUUUGAAUCUGUUUCUGUGUUUCACCCCUAUUUUGAGUUCUUUUGAAAUUAUUUUGAGUAAUUUUUACAAACAUUUAUUGAGUGCUUCUCAUGUAUACUCCUAGCAACGACAAUUAAUCUACCAAGGUGGUCGAUGAUAAUCCUUUGAGGUCAGAUUAUUGUUCCUAACUAAUGGAGCAGUAAUCAUCCUCCCAUUUUUUGGUACAGUUUUAAGAUAUAUUACUAUUUCUAUCUACUGUGAAUGAAAUUCAUGCUCAGACUUAAUACCUGUUGCCGAUCUGCAUAACUUGAAGAAUCUAUGAAUUGUGGUGUCCAUGCCCUCAGAUCUAAGAAUCCCAACACUCUGAUACGAAAUUAUUAACAUCUCUGUACUCUGAUGAUGAAUGUCAUAGCCAAUGUACCCUGAUCAAAGGUAUUUCAGGUAUAGUGAAGAAAAAGAAAGAGUUUGGAUUGAGAGCAGAGAGGAAGAAAGAAGGUUUGGGGGUGUAAAUUUAGAUAGUUCAGAGAGAAGAGGGAGAGAUCUUGGAGGUAGAUCUGGGAGAGAGGGAGAGAGCUAGAAAUUUAGAAGAGAAAUAACCAUUCAUUACUUGCCUUCUUUUAUCCCUAUUAUAGCUUAUUUAUACUCAGCUGUUCAGCUGAAAUUACAAGAAAAUUUAUAUAAAAUGCAUAAUCAGAUAUAUGGGUAUUUGGAUGGUUUGUUCGUCCGUUGGACUGGCCUUUCUGUGCUCAACUUAGGCUGGUUGGAUGCUUCUCUGUCGGCUGGACCUGGGUUACUCUCACUGCUUCAUAGCGGGUUGGAAAGG
rnacentral:lncRNA from 1 species